rnacentral:lncRNA from 1 species
GCUGGAGUGCAGUAGCGCAAUCUCAGCUCACUGCAACCUGCUCACUGCAACCUAUUUAGCUGGCAAAUAACAUCUGGAUCUAUCUGACACCAGAGCCUGAGCUUUUCCUUUGCUACACUGUCUUAUAACUUUGCCCAUAACUCCAAGUUCCCUGAAGGCCCCCCACUCCGCUAAUGCCCUCAUACUGCUGUGUAUUCAUAAAUCCUUGCUUCGAGCACCCUCCUUGCUUCAGUCUGCCUGGCAGAUACCUACCUAUCCUUUUGGUCUCAUCGCACACAUUAAUGAGGUAAAAUCCAAUCUAUGCCACUAUAUGAUUUGGGGCAAGUUACUUAACAUCUGAGACCUUCAAUUUCCACAUCUGUACAAUGAGAAUAAUUUCAAUCUCAUAGGGUUUGUUGUGGACAAUUGCCGUCUUUGCUGCCCAGAAUUUACUAUGCUUUGGCAACAUUGCCUUAAUUUUGCUUGGGGAGCCAGCCCUCCUCCACCUCUGCCCAUGUACUUCCGGUGACAGUGAUGGCCCUGGAGGGAGCACAGGGCCUGAGCUCAGACACUCAGCACUCUUCCUCCUCCUCACCAUGGUGUCUGACCCAUGGAUGAGCCACAGGAAAAGAAGCUCAAUUCCUAGGCUCUUGUUUUGAACUCUCACAAGGAGAGGUGAUUGUCUUUCCCCAGUUUUGUCUACCAUUCCGGUUCCAUCUGCAUUCCCGGAGGAGUCCUGUUGAGGGCAGAGUGACUGUGAGCAAAACAAGAAGAGCUGUGUCACCAAGUUCCAUAAAAUCUGGGAGCCCAAGCAGCAUAUUUGUGGGAUUUGUCUGACAGAACGCAAUGGAAACAGAGCGUGGCAUUCGCUCCAUCUCCCCCAGCUCUCCAAUCCUGAAGUCAAAAUGGAAUGCAUCUCUGCUCUUCCUCUGGGCAUCAUCUAAUUUUUUUGUUCUUGUUUUCCUUGUGCUGGAAUCUACAACACCCUCUCCUAGCCCCUCAACCAGCCUUUCUUCUGCAGAGCAACUUAGUUCUAAUUAGCAACUACAAACCUAUUCACCUACAUCCAAGAGUUCAGUAGUGUCUUUUAAGUAUGUAACAGGCAAUUCUUUUACAUUUUAUUGAGAUGACUACUUUAAAAAAAUUGGUUGCUACCCAGAACUGUUUAGAACAUUGCUUGCUUUAGGUAAGUGAGUGAAGCAAGAUGUGAUAACAUAGGGCUGGGGGACUAGAGUUGGGUAAUAUGGUAGCACAUGAUUUUGUUACUUGAGAUUGCCUGUAAUUGUAGACAUCAGUGAGCAGGGUGAUAUGAACCUCACAGGGGCUCUUGAAGUUCUGCUUCUUCCCUAUUCCUUAAUGCAAUACAAUAUUUAGGUUCAUCUUUUCAAUUUUCCUGGAGAAAUUAAAUACUGUGCCAUAAUAAAAAAAUAAGUAAUUUGAAAGUAAAGGAAGGGCAUGAAUGGAGAGAAGGCAGGAAAACAUUCUAGGUUGGAAAAAAUGGCAGAAGUAAUGUUGGGACAUUGGAGUGAUGGUGGAGGUGGGAAUAGAGUCUAGGAUCUCUUCAUCCCAUACUAUGCAUCUAUCUUCACAAAAUUAGUAUGGCCAAAUAUUAAAUCAGCUCAUUUCUGGUUGGGAAAAGUAGGGUGAAUGUGCCUUUCUAGCUGUCCUUGAGAUGUAAAUCUCCUGUAACAUAGCUUCCCUAGUGGUCACCUCAAAGGCUUUGUUCUCUCCAGGAUAGAUGCUACAGAGUGGGACAGUACUUGGUGUGUGUGUAUCUCAAUUUUUUUUUAACAUGACAAAUUGAACUAGGGGCAAGAGAAGGAUAGACAGAGGAGCCUAUGAUGGGGUGGUGGAUACUAAAUAUUUUCCAGGUGUAAGGAGCAGAGGAGGAAAAGGGAGACUGGGUAACCCUUUUUCAGACCAUCAUUUAGUCCAUUUUAUGUUGCAAAUAUUAGCAAACCUACUCCAGCUUUCUUAAACAGUAGGGUUUUCAUUACAACAUAGUUAAGAGAGUAGGCUUAGGAGUAAGAUUGCUUGAUCCUGAGUAAGUUACUUAAUCUUGGUGUCUCAGUUUCUUCAUUCCAGUUAAGUAAAUAUAUUUAAAUUAAAUUAUAUUAGUUAGUAAAUGUAAAGCACACAGAAAAGUGUUUGGCUUCUGGUGAGCUUUCAAUAAGUGUUAACUAUUAUUUGUUAUUAUUAUUUUAACAAAACCAACCUCCAAAACCUAUGAAGUCAGUUUACAGAAAGCCACCAGGAAAAGGGAAAUAAGAAGAUUCUUUACUUUGCUGUCAUUUGAUACACUUAGCAUUUUAAAUGACUAUAUGUACAAUAUUAACCAUGCCUUUCCACAAAACUAUGUGUGUGCAUAUGAAUUACAGGGCUUUCAUUUGAAACUGAACUAUCUGUGUUUGUAGUCACUUUAAUCAUACAACAAACCUACAAAAUAUUUAAGCAUAAAUUAUCAUGAUGACUAAAUAUGGAAAAGCUUCUGUUACCAAAACCUGCACCCAAAUUGACUGCACAGGAUGGGUAAUUGGAUGGUGGUGUAAAGAAUGCUCAUGAGGACUAGGCUGCUGCUAAUUAGAUCUUCUAUGCUAUUUAAAUGUUCUCCAAGCUUCAGGGAGUGCCCUGAAGGCAGUUGGACAUUAGCCUUGUGGUUUUUGAGGGUAACCUACAGUUUGUCAGCACAGGGGUGGAGGUGAGCACCAUGGGACUUUUCCCAGGCUGCUGGUUAACAUACUGUGGUUUCAAUCCUUUAAGCCAAUAAAUGGAGGAGAGAGAAAGAAGGCAGACUGAAAUUAGAGGAAAAGAGACAAAGAAAGGAAAAGUGGAAGUAAGAAUAAUAUUCAUGAAAUGUCUUCUUUGGGCCAGAUAUUUUUUUAGGAACUUUCACAUAUUGUGCUUACAUCAACUCUGUGGGAAAUGUAUGAUUAUACUAUCCUCAUUUGUAACAGACAUUGUUGGGUGCCUAUAUAACAUAUAACAGCUAUUUUUCUUCAUUUUUUUCUUGCUGAUGGCGCUUUUUUUUUUUUAGUGUUUACUUCCCAUACAAAACUUAUGUCUCCAUGUCUCCAUCCUUCAGCAAUAGGGGUAAUUCUGAAAGGUCAUUGUUUUGCAAUUGCCCUUGAAAGGAAAUUCUUGGACAUAACAACAGAUAAGAUUCUAGCCAAUGAAAGGUGAUGAGAAGGUUGCUGAGAAGUUUCUGAGAAAGGUUUCUUUAUUCUUUAACAAAUACCCUGGAAAGAGACAGGCCUUCUGCUGCUGUUCAUGGUUGUACCUGCACAGGAUGCCUGAAAAGGAGUAACCGUGGGGUCAGAAGAGGAGCCAGCGUGAGGACAAAGCAGAUACACUGAAGUACCACCUGUCACUGAAUUUUUGUGCAAGAGUAUAAACAUUCUCAUUGUUUAAUCUUUCUGUGGGAGACGCUUUACUAUGUGUAGCAAAGUCAUUCUAACUGACAUACCAUUUUCCAUUGUAUGAGAAAACUGAUGUACAGAAAGGUUAAGAAACUUGCCUGCAUUUGCAUGCAUAAUGAGGAGUGGAGAGAACAGGUUGUGCCUUCUAAUAUACAGGCAAGAUAUGUCUCUUUUAAACAGCACAUACAGACACACUCCAAAAUGACAAUUUCCAUCAUUUUUUAAAAAUUAAAUGAGACAAAGACUCUAAAACUAUUUAAAUAACAUGUACAUUACUGUCUUGGGAUUUAUUUUUGUUUCAGCUCUAUUGAGAUAUAGUUGACAAAUAAAAUGGUAUGAAUUUAAGGUGUACAAUGUGAUGAUUUGAUGUAUGUAUAUAUUGUGAAAAGACCAAAAUAAAGUCAGUUAACAUAUCUAUUACUUCACCUUGUUAUCAUUUUUUUUGCGGUGAGAACAUUUAAUAUCUGCUCUCUUAGGAAAUAUCAAAUAUACAACACAGUAUUGUUAAUUAUAGUCUGUGUUCCCUUUGACCAAUGUCUCCCCAUUUCCCUGACUUCCUAGCCCCUGCUAAUCAACAUUAUAUUUUGUUUCUAUAAGUUUGACUUUUUCUGGUUCCACAUAUAUGUGAGAUUAUACAGCAUUUGUCUUUCUCUAUUUGACUUUUUAAAAAAUUUUUUUAUUUGUUGGGUUUUUAAAAUUAUACUUUAAGUUCUAGGGUACAUGUGCACAACGUGCAGGUUUGUUACAUGGGUAUACAUGUGCCAUGUUGGCUUGCUGCACCCAUCAAUUCGUCAUUUACAUUAGGUAUUUCUCCUAAUGCUAUCCCUCCCCCAUUCCCCCUCCCCUGGACAGGCCCUGGUGUGUGACAUUUCCAGCCCUGUGUCCAUGUGUUUUCAUUGUUCAACUCCCACCUGUGAGUGAGAA